AAUAAGGUGCCUGAUAAAAGGACUAUUUUGAUAGAAUAGAUUAUGUAUAUUUGUACCCUUAUUA
rnacentral:tRNA from 1 species